UAGAGUUUGAUCCUGGCUCAGGACGAACGCUGGCGGCGUGCCUAAUACAUGCAAGUCGAGCGGACUUGACGGAGCUUGCUCUGUUCAAGUUAGCGGCGGACGGGUGAGUAACACGUGGGUAACCUGCCUGUAAGACUGGGAUAACUCCGGGAAACCGGGGCUAAUACCGGAUAACAUCAAGAGCUGCAUGGCUCUUGAUUGGAAGGCGGCUUCGGCUGUCACUUACAGAUGGACCCGCGGCGCAUUAGCUAGUUGGUGAGGUAACGGCUCACCAAGGCGACGAUGCGUAGCCGACCUGAGAGGGUGAUCGGCCACACUGGGACUGAGACACGGCCCAGACUCCUACGGGAGGCAGCAGUAGGGAAUCUUCCGCAAUGGACGAAAGUCUGACGGAGCAACGCCGCGUGAGCGAUGAAGGCCUUCGGGUCGUAAAGCUCUGUUGUUAGGGAAGAACAAGUACCGUUCGAAUAGGGCGGUACCUUGACGGUACCUAACCAGAAAGCCACGGCUAACUACGUGCCAGCAGCCGCGGUAAUACGUAGGUGGCAAGCGUUGUCCGGAAUUAUUGGGCGUAAAGCGCGCGCAGGCGGUUCCUUAAGUCUGAUGUGAAAGCCCACGGCUCAACCGUGGAGG
rnacentral:rRNA from 1 species